AUAUCGGAAUUAUCAGAUCAGAUUUUAGACAACUGGAAGAGAACCUCGAUGACAAAUUGAAAAACGUCCAGGGUUUUGGAAAAGAGGAAAUUUUCAAUAAAAUUGAAGAACAAUCGAUGGGAAUUAAUAAGCUCCAAGAGAAAGUUAUGCAACAGUCUGAUGAAGUAAAGAAAUUGAAAGAAGAUUUUGCCAAACUCCGUACGAUAGAGUUGGAUGAGCAGAAGAAAAUUGUGGAACAAACUGCUGAGAUCAGUGAGCUGAAGAAA